UGCUGUGCAGUGCUGAUUCCCGCUGCUGCUUACUCCUGAUCUGUGCCAUACUUUCUGUUUCACACUGGGCCGCUCCUUGGAGAAACUCAGCAGAUGCAAGAGAAGAGAAACACUUGGACUAAAAUGAAAGGAUCAGCCCUGCAAUGGGAAUAAGAACAGCAUCUGCCAUGUGAUCAUUGCGGAUAAAACCACAAGGCUCUUCCAUCCUCACGCUGCAGGGCACAAGCUGGUUCCCAGCUGGAUCCCAGAGAAUUUCACCCUCCUCUGGAGCAGCCGCCAUUGGCCACAAGAUAGCAGACGACCUGGAUCAUUGCACUGGCUAGAACGGCAGCUAGCACCCUGUGUUCCUAGAGCGCUUCGCUCUCUGAUUACCCAUUUCUGAUGAUCAAAAUUGAAUCUGAUUUUCAGAGAGGAGGAAUGCAGCAUUUAGAAAAUCCUACCAGCUCCCCAAAUAUGCUGUAUGAACAGAAGUCUCCAGUCUAAGUAUGUGUAUGGUCCCCAUCACCGUCCUAGGUGAGCAGUAAUCGAUUGAGCGUGCAAUACCCCUGCCAAGGUAGGAAAGUAUCAUUGGCCCGGAUCCACGUUUCAUAAGAGAAGGAGUAAGGCAGGGGGUGGGAAGUGAUGGUGCCCACCUUAAAACUUUGCGCUUGGUGAUUAGAGCACUGCCUGGGAUGUCAGAGAACCAGGUUCAACUCCUUCCUCAGGCAGCAGAGAGCAAGGAUGUGAACAGGGAUCUCCCACCCGCCAAGAGUAUGCUUUGAGCACUGGGCUGUGCGAUAUUCUGAUGUGGGGUCCCUCGGUCUCUCCCACUGAAGCUGGUCCUUGAUGGAUUAACUAUUUAGAGUCAUUGGGCCAGAAAGAAAGAGAAUGACUCUCUAGUCCAGUGGGUUGGGCUGGUGGAAGGCCCAGGGUCCAGUGCUCCAGCGGAUAUUUACGUAUUUAUCCACAAUGGAAUAGCCCCCUCUUCAGAUGGCUCAGUGGUUAGAGAUCUGGAGGCUCCUAUUCAAAUCACUUCUCCUCAGCAGGCAGAGAUGGGAGUUGAACUGGUGCCACUCCCAUCCUAGGUGAAUGCACUAACCCUCCUCUUUGAAUGGGACCUGAGCGGGUAGAUGGCCUCUGAGCAUUCCUGCAGGAUCAGGCCCGGCAGGCAGGACAGGUAGGCAAAUGCCUAUCUUCCCCUGGUAUGUGCAUCACACCAGGCCUUUGGCAGGAGAUAGGUGCCUGGGUUGCUUAGGGGGAGGCAGCAGUGCCCAUGCCAGAGAUGGAAACAUAGGCAACUUUUACCCUGAAAUUUGAGGCACAGAGUGAGUUUAGGUGUCUACAAGAUUAGCUGGCAGCCCAUCAGGAGGUUUGUGUGGCCCAGUGGAACCUAAAACCGAGACUUGGGUGCCUAAAUACCUUUUGUGGAUCUGGACCAUUAUCCCCAGCUAGGAAACUGAGGCACGGCACCAUUAAGGCUGAAGUUUUCAAGAGUGGCCAUUGAGUGCUGGUGCCCCAGUUUUUGAGUACCUCUCUGGAGAUACCUUUGGCCUCCUUUUCAGGGAUGCUGAGGGCCCACGGCACCAAUGGGAGCCGAUGGGAGCUGCAGGCAAUCAACCUCCUGGAGAAAUCAGCCCCGAGGUGUCUUAAGUUGGGUGACCAAAAUCUGAGGCACCUGCACUCAAUGGUCAUGAAUGAAAUUUUGAGUCUGUGGCACUUUCAAAGAGCCUAAGGGUAUGUCUGUGCUGCCAGCUCAGCGCAGUGAAGCUGCGACAGCAUGUACUUUGGUGCCCGCGGAUUCCUGGAACUCCACUGUGCUAGGCCUCGAGCUGGCUAGAUUCAAACUAGCCUGAGUAUGUCUGCUCAAGCUGCAAUUAUGCCCAGACACUGCCGUCUAGAUGCACCUCGGUGACUUAGAAGCCUGAAGUGCCGUUUCCAAAGGUGACCUAAGCGCUCAGGAGCCUAGUCCCAUCAGUGUCAGUUGUGAACAUUUUACCCUAUGUGACUUGACCCAGGUUACGCAAUCGAUCUCUAGCAAACUGGGAAUCGAAUCCCUGGGUUCAGGUCUGGUUCAGUCCCACAGCCACAUGACCAUCCUUCCGUCACAUCUAACUGUGCCACUCAGUCAGCUUCACCGGAAUGUGGCAGCUGCUGGGCGCAAUUAAAAAAAGACAGAAUUGGGCAAAAUGUCUGGAUUAAGCAAGAAAUUUCCACCAACCCCCUCCCUCUCCCAAAACCCUAAUAAAUAAAUACCUAAAUAUUAAGACCACCAAUAGAUGCAGGUGCAAAACUGAUUGUUUCUAAAGACCUCAGCGGUGCUAUUGACAGCAUCGACUUUCUCACUGGGCUUAUUUUAACUCCCCUCAGGCUGUGAACAUUGCUGGGUUGAAAUUGGCGCACUCCACAACUACCUCACUCUCUCCAAGCACAACCUGGCAGCAUCUCUAAAUAUUUAUCCCGAGUCUGUUUUCAUUUGGGCAAAGUGGUUAUCAAGUCACUUUCUGGGAAGGAUAACUGGGGUCAGGAGUCAGAAUCAAAUGUCGGCAGACACAACUCCUGGAUGUUGUUUUCAUUCUUUUAAGGUCACUUAGUGCAUAGACCUAACAGUGGCUCUACUGUAACUUGAUAUUGACCACCUCUGGAAGGACAUCUGUAAACCUUAGCAAACCUAUGAGUUUGCAAACGUAGUUCUGCUUGAUCCUUGCUGCAGCAGGAAAUAGGGGUGCUGAAAAUAAACAAAGCCUCUGACAAAUUGCAGCAGCUUAAUAGAUAGCAUCAUCCUGCAGAUAGGUCACUCCACAAGGAGUCAGAGGACCUGGGUUUCCCAUCCCACCCUUUUGUCUAUUUAGUUUGUAAGAUCUUUGGGGCUGGGACAGCCUCACAUUAUAUUUUUUUGUACUGUACCCAGCACAAUAAGGUUCUGAUCUCAGUUGAGCCUCUGGGAACUAUCAUAAUGCAAAGAAUAAGGAAUAAUAAUAAUGCAACUCGCCAUGCCAUAGAUGAACUGGUAUUACAUGUAUAAUGAGAGUGUAAAACUGGUUCUUUUACCACCUUUUCCCAACUUGCUGAUCCUUCUUUAGCAUCCCAGUUUGAAAAUGUCGCCAUUAACUGCUCUCUGCCUCCAUUUCCCCAUCUGUAAAAUGGAGAAUAGCGUUAUUUGCUAAUCUGCGGAAAGCACUUGGAGAUCCAUGAAUGCCAUGGGCACGUGAGAUAUUUUUUAUUACUAAAUUUAAUUCUGGGCAAAAAGUCAAGUUUUGUGUGUGAAUGGUAAGUAUUUAACAAAAUACACAAGUAAAUAAAAGCUGGAAUACAAGAAGUUGUUGGAGAGGCACAAAUAGAAUUGACUUUUCUUCCGGGUUUAUAGCUCUACAGAAUGGAAGCAAUCAAAAUGGGAUCAAAGUAGCAUCCUUUUUCAUUGCCUUGGUGUUCUGUUCAUAAACUAACAGUGGGUCCAAUCAAAAGAUUAUUGGCUUUGGUUCUGCAAGAGUUUUUGAGCAUUAAUGCUUAUUUUUCGGAGUUGUGUACACUGCUCUCCGUCGGUAAAUUCACUUCCCUCUGAAUCUCCCUGUUCACUGUGUGUGUAGGGCCAGAUCCUGACAAUUUGCUUCGGAUUCUUUAAGAUUCUUGAAAUAUACUUCUCAAGUGUCCCUUGUGAGACAGUGUAGUGAGGCAGAGUGGUCUCCCUCCGGACUGGAGAACGAGGGACCACUACCUUCCCCUGGUGAGUGGAGCCGAACCCGCCUUGCUCCCUUUGCCGCAAGUACUAGGGUGGGACAGGAAGUAUAAGGGGAGGGGUUGGCAGCUCAGUUGAACAGGAUCCAGCGAAGGAGAUGGACGCCUCCACUCCGCUGUGACACCCGGGAGCAGAACCUGAGCUCUGCAGCACCCUGCCCAUGGAGGAGAUUGGGCCAGAAGAGGAGUUGCUGGGACUCUCUACCACUGUGUAUCCAGCCAGGGGACCUGCAGAUUAUAGAGGUACCAAACGCCGGGGAGGUAGGAAGUGGUCCAGGGGCAGCUGACGACUGGCCGGCUACCUUGCUAACUGACUCUAGGUCAGCCUGUUGCAGCUGGAUCCCUGCUGACUCAGCGGCGGACCCCUCCACCACUGUUAGGGCCUGGGGUGGAGGCAGGUGGGCCCGUGUCCCCCUACCCCCUGUGACCCCACCCUUGGGAUGGCAGACUCCCCACCUUGGGCCAGGAGGCCUGUGUGAAUUUACUGUCCAUCAAGCUAGGACACUAGACUUAGUUGGUGCCCACCCCUACUGGAGCCUCUAGGCUGUGGUGGUGCUUCCCCCCCAACACCGGAGCCCGUAGAUCCAGACAAUGGGGAACCUCAAGCCUCCAUGCAGUUGGUUUAGUUACUUGCACUUGAUGUAUUCAUUCCAUCAAAAGGAGCGCUUGACCUUUGUUCCUCAGGGAUGGCCCCUCUGACCCGGGAGCAUGGACUCCAGGUGUUUUGGAAUCUUGCCUUAAGAGGUAGAAUUCAGUGUCCUAAUCCUCACAACUGCAGCAGCAUUGCCGCACAGAGCACUUCUGCCUGGGAGGCAGGCACGCAAGAGUAAACCCAAGCCUGGUUCUCAUGCCUGUGCUGAGAGCAACAAAGAAUGAAUGGAGACAAGAGCAGCCGACGUCAGCCACAGUGAAGAGAGCGCUCUAUCCACCAGAAAUCUGCACUCGAGUGAAGUUCAAUUCCACUUACACUGGAGUGACCAAGACCAGGAUCCAGCCCAGAAUGGCCUUCAAGAGUUUCCCAUUUGCUUCAAAACGUCUUAUUGGCACCAGAGCCAGGAACAGCAUUGCGUAUUUGUAUGAAAAAACAAGAAGUUACCUUUUACCUUUUGGAUCUGUUUGUAUUUGCCUAACUGCAGCCAUUGCAAGGUUGUGUAUUUACAAUCCAGCUGGUAUUUGUUUAACUUAUUGAACUUGAGCUAGCAAAGGUACAUUUGCACGGUCUCACUUUCCCCUACGUAGGGAAGGGAAUCCAGACUGCGGCUAGAGACUCACGCAGGGAAAAGAAACCGACACCCAAACACCAAAGCAGCUUUGUAUGGAUUUUAAAUGAUUUAUUAUCCCAACUUGGCCUUGCCUUCUUUUACAUUCCUCUUUUGGGGAGGCCUUUUCCUUCCUUUAUGCUUUCAUACGGUCCCAUCACUGCUGACGUCUGGACUGUACGAUCUAAGUGAAAAAGUCUUCACCUUCGCUCCGUGAAAACUGCUGCUUGCAGGUGCAAUGGUUAGUGAGGGAGAGACUGACCGAUCCACUGGGGAAGAGACAGAGCAGUGGUGUGCAGUGGCUGGAGUCAUGGGACCUAAUUCUCCUCAUCUACACCAGUGUAAUGCUAUUGACAUUAAUAGGGCGUAAUGUGGGUACAGUUAUCUGCUUCUGCACUAUCACAUGCAGGACUGGAGCCUAACUCCAGACUAAGGCAUCUAAACAAGAAGCCUGAUUUUCAGCUCACUGAGCACAUGGACACUCCUUUCCCAAAAUCAGGCUACUUUAGGUGCCUAAAUAGGGACUAAGGAGCAGGACUUACAAUUCUUUUUUUGUAAAAUCUGGCGUGUGGUAGACAAGACCUGAACUGUAAUGUAAAAACCAGCAAGAAUCCCGCUCUUUUAGAACCAGUCAAGGAUUUUUUUCGAUAAAAUAUUUUCUCACCAAAAAAUGCCGAUUUGUUGAAACUGAACUUGUGGUGGGAAAGGAGUGACUGUGAAACAAAUUUUCUGUUUACAAACUUUUUUUGGGGGUGGAAAAAAGUUUUAAAAUUGUUGAAAUGUCCCAUUUCAACAUUUUUUUUCCAACAAGAAGUUCUGUUAACAUUGAAUUGAAACAAAAUGUUUCAACUGAUCUGACCAACAUUUUUUUUCCAAUGAUUGUCUAAAAUUUUGAAAUUGCAACUUUUCCUCCCGAUUCAGGACUGGAACAUUUUUUGAAAUCUCUAAAGCUUUCCAAGGAUGGGAAAGCCAUUUUCCACCUAGCUCUGCUCCCCUCCUCAUACACAGACCCUUAAAACAAGAGAGCACGAUCCCUCCUCUUCCAUUUCUUUUGCAGAUGUCUUAAACAAUUAUUUUUAAAUAAGGGGCAAAGGGGGACAAACAUUUUUGGAAGAAAAACAUUUUUUCCCCAUUUUAUGUGCAUUUUCCUGACUUUGCAGUAUCUUUUGGAAUACUGAUUCCAACUCUAAUGGUAUACAGUUUCCCCCUAAACAUAGGUUAGGGGUUUGUUAUUGAAGUGGAUGGGUGAGAUUCUGUAGUCUGCGUUAUGCAGGAGGUCAGACUAGAUGAUCAUAAUGGUCCCUUCUGACCUUAAAGUCUAUGAGUCUAUUGGUUCCAAUCCUGCCAUUGGAUCAUUCUUUGCACCUAAGUGGGUAUGUUACAUUUAUUUUAAAUUGUUGCUUACCUGUUGUGGCCUUAAGUGCUGUCCUGAGCUAGGAAUGCUUUCCUGAAUAAGGAGGAGGGAAUGGAAUUAUUUGUACAAAAACCAGCAGAUGGCUGCAGCUUUCUUUGUAUUAUAAUUGUUUUUCUCACAUUUUUCCUUUCUGGGUUGUCAAAAAUAUUUUCAAGAAAGGAUCAGUUUUCAAAAAAAUCUUUUUCUUUUAUAAAUCACAUUUUGUUUCAUAAUGUCAAGCUUUAGCCUACCAACAAAACUAACAUACUAAAUAUAUUUUGAACUGAUCAACAGAUAUUAAACCUAGUAGCACAUGUUCCUAUUAAAUAUUAUUGUUCUGAUGACAUUUUAAACAUAUUUACCGGACAAAUAUUUCAUAAGGGCUUUUUCACAGCCUUACAGGAUCUUUAAAUCUGGACUCUCCAAGGGCUUUGAACUCUGCUCCUUUAGUAUUUCCUUUUUUUUGAUGGUAUAUUUGAAGUGAUUUCUGUUUACCCUCUGGUCAUUUAGUCUCUGAUUUCAUUGAGCCUUUUGCAUCGUGCAGUAUGUCUGCAGCUUUGAAACAUUCAUAGAGAGGGAGUUAAAAUGAAGUUGUUGCCAUGAUAAAUGUUCAUUUCAUUAUUGCGUCUUGGGUAUGCACUGGGGGUAAGAAUGGUUUCAGAGCAGCAGCCGUAUUAGUCUGUAUCCGUAAAAAGAACAGGAGUACUUGUGGCACCUUAGAAACUAAUUUAUUUCAGCUUAAGCUUUCAUGGGCUACAGCUCACUCCUUCGCAUGCAUAGAAUGGACAUUGAGCAUUAAAAAAUACUUUGGCCAGAUUCUGAUCUCAUUUACAUUGAUGUAAAUCCAGAGUAACUCCAACGUGUUGGAGAUCAGAAUCUGGCCACCAAUUUUCAGCCAAGAAUAUGAGUGUUUGCCUGGCAGAGUUCAUCACAAAAUGCAUGUUUUUCCUGCAGUCAAAUAAAUGCAUCUUUCCCUCCACCCCCCCUUUGUUAAAAUCCAAGACCUUUCAACUUAUUCUUUGCAGUUCUCAAGUUUGGGCAAAAAAUUGUAAUUUAAAUAAUAAACUGUUAUAUUCUAGAAUUUCCCAAACCUCAUUAAAUGGUCUAAGGUAAAAUAAUGAUAGUGACACAGGGC